CAGUCGCCACGGUAAUACGGAGGGUGCAAGCGUUAAUCGGAAUUACUGGGCGUAAAGCGCACGCAGGCGGUCUGACAAGUCAGAUGUGAAAUCCCCGGGCUUAACCUGGGAACUGCAUUUGAAACUGUCAGGCUGGAGUCUUGUAGAGGGGGGUAGAAUUCCAGGUGUAGCGGUGAAAUGCGUAGAGAUCUGGAGGAAUACCGGUGGCGAAGGCGGCCCCCUGGACAAAGACUGACGCUCAGGUGCGAAAGCGUGGGGAGCAAACAGGAUUAGAUACCCCUGUAGUCCCUGUCUCUUAUAA
rnacentral:rRNA from 1 species